AAGAGAUUAUAAAAUAUUUUGUAUAAUUAACAUUGUUUAAAUUUGAAGAAAUAUUAUUUUAACGCAAUGGUGUCUACUUAAUAUUUGAAAACGGAGAGCGUUUAUUUCCCUGAUAUUAUUCACAUGGAAUUCGGUUACUACAUUCCUAUCGAAUGAUUAAAUUUGUUAAGAAACUAUAUUAUAAAUAGUUGUAUUCAGGAACUACCAAGAAUUGUACUAUCCUGCUGCUAAGCUGAAUUACGUCUCUCGAUGCUUUUCAUAAUAUACGAGGAACGAACGAGGGGAAAAAGAUACGAAAGAAAACCAUCGAGGCCUGAUAAUUUAUCUCUGAAGUUGCUGUGAAGUACACAGACGACUUAUUUGUAUUACUAUAUCAAGAACGAAGAGAUAAAUGCACACAGUUUUUUUUUUUUCAAAAUUGAAACUGUGAUUUCUAAUAAGUAAAGAAAAUACAUGAGGUUAAUCCAGCUCAAAUGGUGGGCGAACGAAGGUUUAAAGUUUCAUGUGUCCCAUAUGCUGUAACGAUGACGCGACAUUGUAGCGUGAUGUCACUCUGGUAAAAUAAAUUGCUUGCGUAAUUUCAUGA